GUGGGGAAUAUUGGACAAUGGGCGAAAGCCUGAUCCAGCAAUGCCGCGUGAGUGAUGAAGGCCCUAGGGUUGUAAAGCUCUUUUACCCGGGAUGAUAAUGACAGUACCGGGAGAAUAAGCUCCGGCUAACUUCGUGCCAGCAGCCGCGGUAAUACGAGGGGAGCUAGCGUUGUUCGGAAUUACUGGGCGUAAAGCGCGCGUAGGCGGUUUUUUAAGUCAGAGGUGAAAGCCCGGGGCUCAACCCCGGAAUAGCCUUUGAAACUGGAAAACUAGAAUCUUGGAGAGGUCAGUGGAAUUCCGAGUGUAGAGGUGAAAUUCGUAGAUAUUCGGAAGAACACCAGUGGCGAAGGCGACUGACUGGACAAGUAUUGACGCUGAGGUGCGAAAGCGUGGGGAGCAAACAGGAUUAGAAACCCGAGUAGUCC
rnacentral:rRNA from 1 species